CAACCAGAGAGAGAGAGAGAGAAAAAAUGAUAGCGACAGGGACAACCAGAGAGAGAGAGAGAGAGAAAAUGAUAGUGACAGGGACAACCAGAGAGAGAGAGAGAGAGAGAAAAUGAUAGCGACAGGGACAACCAGAGAGAGAAAAUGAUAGCGACAGGGACUGUGAAAAGGAUAGCGACAGGCACAACCAGAGAGAUAGAAAGAGAAAAUGAUAGCAACAGGGACAACCAGAGAGAGAGAGAGAGAGAGAAAAGUAUAGCGACAGGGACAACCAGAGAGAGAGAAAGAGAAAAUGAUAGCGACAGGGACAACCAGAGAGAGAGAGAGAGAGAGAGAGAAAAGGAUAGCGACAGGGACAACCAGAGAGAGAGAGAGAGAGAAAAUGAUAGCGACAGGGACAACCAGAGAGAGAGAGAAAAUGAUAGCGACAGGGACAACCAGAGAGAGAGAGAAAAUGAUAGCGACAGGGACAACCAGAGAGAGAGAGAGAAAAUGAUAGCGACAAGGACAACCAGAGAGAGAGAGAAAAUGAUAGCGACAGGGACAACCAGAGAGAGAGAGACUAUGAUAGCGACAGGGACUGUGAAAAGGAUAGCGACAGGCACAACCAGAGAGAUAGAAAGAGAAAAUGAUAGCAACAGGGACAACCAGAGAGAGAGAGAGAGAGAGAGAGAGAGAAAAGGAUAGCGACAGGGACAACCAGAGAGAGAGAGAGAAAAUGAUAGCGACAGGGACAACCAGAGAGAGAGAAAGAGAAAAUGAUAGCGACAGGGACAACCAGAGAGAGAGAAAGAGAAAAUGAUAGCAACAGGGACAACCAGAGAGAGAGAGAGAGAGAGAAAAAAGGAUAGCGACAGGGACAACCAG
ensembl:lncRNA